rnacentral:rRNA from 1 species
UACGUAGGGGGCAAGCGUUGUCCGGAUUUAUUGGGCGUAAAGCGCGUGUAGGCGGCCAGGUAGGUCCGUUGUGAAAACUCGAGGCUCAACCUCGAGACGCCGAUGGAAACCAUGUGGCUAGAGUCCGGAAGAGGAGAGUGGAAUUCCUGGUGUAGCGGUGAAAUGCGCAGAUAUCAGGAAGAACGCCCGUGGCUAAGGCGGCUCUCUAGUACGGUACUGACGCUGAGACGCGAAAGCGUGGGGAGCGAACAGG